UACGAAGGGUGCAAACGUUGCUCGGAAUUACUGGGCGUAAAGCGCACGUAGGCGGACUGUUAAGUCGGGGGUGAAAUCCUGGGGCUCAACCUCAGAAUUGCCUCCGAUACUGGCAGUCUCGAGUGCGGGAGAGGUGAGUGGAAUUCCCAGUGUAGAGGUGAAAUUCGUAGAUAUUGGGAAGAACACCAGUGGCGAAGGCGGCUCACUGGCCCGUAACUGACGCUGAGGUGCGAAAGCGUGGGGAGCAAACAGG
rnacentral:rRNA from 1 species